AUGGAUCCUCCCAUGCCGGAGCUGUGCCGGUCCCUGCGGAUGUCCCGGAAUUCCUGGAAUUCCCUAAGUUCCAGUGGGAUGUCGCUGCAGCUCCUGCUCCUUGAGCAGCGUGAUCUGCAGGAGGGAGGGAGGGAGGGGAGACUGUGGGGCCAGGCCGUGUCCCCUGGGGCUGUGUCCCCCGGGCCGUGUCCCCGUGUCCCUGCGGGCUGUGUCCCCCGGGCCGUGUCCCCCAGGCUGUCCCUGUGUCCCCCACGCUGUGUCCCCGUGUUCCCCGGGGGUGUCUCCGUGUCCCCGGGCCCUGUUCCUCAGGCUCUCCCCGUGUCCCCGGGCUGUCCCUGUGUCCCCUCACCUGCUCCUCCAGGCCGCCGCGGCCGAGCCGGAGCCGCUCCAGCUCCCUCUGCAGCUCCGCGGGCGCCUCGGGGAGCGGCCGGGCCCGGAGCUCCAGCGCCGACACCUGAGCCUGCGGAGAGGGGUGCCCGGCACCCCGGGAUGGGCACGGCCUGCAUGGGCACCCCAGAACGGCCAGCACCAACACCAGCACCAGCACCAACACCAACACCUCCCUGGUGCUGGCACCAACACCAGCACCAGCACCAGCACCAGCACCAACACCAACACCAGCACCAACACCAACACCAGCACCAGCACCAACACCAACACCAGCACCAGCACCAACACCAACACCAACACCAACACCAACACACCAACACCAACACCUCCCUGGUGCUGGCACCAACACCAGCACCAGCACCAGCACCAACACCAACACCAACACCAACACCACCUCCCUGGUGCUGGCACCAGCACCAGCACCAGCACCAGCACCAACACCAACACCAACACCAGCACCAGCACCAGCACCAACACCAACACCAACACCAGCACCAGCACCAACACCAACACCAACACCAGCACCAGCACCAACACCAGCACCAACACCAACACCAACACCAACACCAACACCAACACCAACACCACACCGCACCAGCACCACACCAACACCAGCACCAGCACCAACACCAACACCAACACCAACACCAACACCAACACCAACACCAACACCUCCCUGGUGCUGGCACCAACACCAACACCAGCACCAGCACCAACACCAACACCAACACCUCCCUGGUGCUGGCACCAACACCAGCACCAGCACCAACACCAACACCAACACCUCCCUGGUGCUGGCACCAACACCACCAGCACCAACACCAGCACCAACACCAGCACCAACACCAGCACCAACACCAACACCAGCACCAACACCAGCACCAGCACCAACACCAGCACCAACACCAACACCAGCACCAACACCAGCACCAACACCAACAUCAGCACCAACACCAACACCAACACCAACACCAACACCAGCACCAACACCAACACCAGCACCAACACCAGCACCAACACCUCCGUGGUGUGGCCAGUGCCAACACCUCCCUGCCCCUGGAACCAGCCCAGCCCCUUCCCAGUACCAGGACCAUUCCCAUUGGGAUGAGCCCGGCCCCAUCCCAGCACCAGCACCAGGCUCGUUCCCAUCAGGAUGAGCUCCUGAAGGAGCAGCCCCAACCCAUGGAUUGGAAUCAGCCCCAACCCAUGGAUCAGGAGCAGCCCCAGCUCCAUCCCAUGGAUCAGCCCCAGCCCACAGAUCGGGAUCAGUCCCAAUCCAUGGAUCAAGAGCAGCCCCAUCCCGUGGAUUGGGAUCAGCCCCAGCCCAUGAAUUGGGAUCAGCCCCAGCUCCAUCCCAUGGAUCAGCCCUAG
ensembl:lncRNA